rnacentral:rRNA from 1 species
AACGAACGCUGGCGGCAGGCUUAACACAUGCAAGUCGAACGGUUGCAGCAAUGCAGCAGUGGCAGACGGGUGAGUAACACGUGGGAACCUUCCUAGGGGUACGGAACAACUCAGGGAAACUUGAGCUAAUACCGUAUACGUCCGUGAGGAGAAAGAUUUAUCGCCCUUAGACGGGCCCGCGUCGGAUUAGCUAGUUGGUGGGGUAACGGCCUACCAAGGCGACGAUCCGUAGCUGAUCUUAGAGGAUGAUCAGCCACACUGGGACUGAGACACGGCCCAGAUUCCUACGGGAGGCAGCAGUGGGGAAUCUUGGACAAUGGGCGCAAGCCUGAUCCAGCCAUGCCGCGUGAGUGAAGAAGGUCUUCGGAUUGUAAAGCUCUUUUGCCAGGGACGAUAAUGACGGUACCUGGAGAAUAAGCCCCGGCAAACUUCGUGCCAGCCGCCGCGGUAAGAC